CUCUACUUGCUAGUACACAGUUGGUUCUGUUGUCGUCUAAAUAGAGAAAGACAAACUCAACUAAAUAAUCAUAGUGCGAAAAUGUUCGUCCAACAUCGCACUUGGAUUGGGGCGUUGAACGGGCGACUUUACUUGCCAAAAUAUAAAGAAAAUUAUUUUGCUUGCCGAAGUAACAUGUUGACCACGUGGACGCAACAAUGGAACACGUGAUCCAAUGGUGUACGUCUGCUCGUUAAACGUCACCUGUCGGUUUUACACAGAGGUCACGUGUCCAGCGGACGAACGUUCCACAAACUCAUAAUGGAUUCUUUUAAGCUACUGGUCUGGAUCCACAAGGUGUCACUUACCUGUUGAGGAGCGCCAAAGAUCAGCUUUCAGAGGGUUAUGCUGUGCCCGCCUCACUGGAGACGUGGCAGUCGUAGAUAUUGCGUCUUUUGUUCAAGUCGCUCUCUUCAGUGACGAGCGGCUGCAGAAGCCAAUUUCUGAAGUGUUUUCCCCAACAUCCAUUCUUGCACUAUUGAAUAAAAAGCUGUGGAAACUAAA